UAUCCCCCAAAUCAAGGGGGGAUGAGAACCACCGACCGGGGUUCGACAACUGGCGCAGCCAGUUGGACAGACGACGAGCUUGCGAGGAGACUGCCCGAAGGGCGAGCGCAGCGAGUCAAUCCCCCCCCUCACCGCCA
rnacentral:sRNA from 1 species